AGUGAACGCUGGCGGUAGGCCUAACACAUGCAAGUCGAACGGCAGCACAGUAAGAGCUUGCUCUUACGGGUGGCGAGUGGCGGACGGGUGAGGAAUACAUCGGAAUCUACUUUUUCGUGGGGGAUAACGCAGGGAAACUUACGCUAAUACCGCAUACGACCUACGGGUGAAAGCAGGGGAUCUUCGGACCUUGCGCGAUUGAAUGAGCCGAUGUCGGAUUAGCUAGUUGGCGGGGUAAAGGCCCACCAAGGCGACGAUCCGUAGCUGGUCUGAGAGGAUGAUCAGCCACACUGGAACUGAGACACGGUCCAGACUCCUACGGGAGGCAGCAGUGGGGAAUAUUGGACAAUGGGCGCAAGCCUGAUCCAGCCAUACCGCGUGGGUGAAGAAGGCCUUCGGGUUGUAAAGCCCUUUGUUGGGAAAGAAAAGCAGCAGGUUAAUACCCCGCUGUUCUGACGGUACCCAAAGAAUAAGCACCGGCUAACUUCGUG
rnacentral:rRNA from 1 species